rnacentral:lncRNA from 1 species
AACAUAAAUAGACACAAACUAAAUGCUACGGCUAUUGCUCACGUUCAAAUUUCACAGGUAUGCACAGGUUCUGUCAAAAUUUAAAAAAACUCCGCAGUUUUCUAUUAUUUGUGAAGCAACGCACCGGACUUUCCAAACCAAGAUAGUAUUCCCCAACUUCAUGAUUCGUAAGUACUCCAAAUGGCAACGAACUGCAUUCGAACAUCACAGUGGCAUCGUGCAAUAAUCCAAUUCUUUAGAAUGAUGAUAAUGAAAAUUAGAGAGAAAUUUGAAUAUAAGGGAUUUUUUCUAAGAAAAUGGAAAAUACAGAAGUGGAGGGGGAAGAUCAAAAAGCUAAAUUCAGGGAUGGAUCAAAUUUGGAAGGGGAAUUGCAGAUAGAGUCACGGAGAUAGAGAUGUGGAAGUGGAUUGCAGAUUUGCUGCCGAUUUGAAGAUUGGGAGAGGGACAAUUGGGGUUUGGGUGCGGGAUAGUAUAAAUAGGGUUUGGCAAAGGGAAAAUUGCAGCUGAGGUGCCAAACCUUUCGUUUAUU